UGGUUCUGGCAUNGAUGAAGAACGCAGCGAAAUGCGAUAAGUAGUGUGAAUUGCAGAAUUCAGUGAAUCAUCGAAUCUUUGAACGCACAUUGCGCCCUGUGGUAUUCCGCAGGGCAUGCCUGUUCGAGCGUCAUUUACACUCUCAAGCUGUGCUUGGUGUUGGGCGUCUGUCGCGCGCGGCGCGACUCGCCUCGAAGUCAUUGGCAGGGUCAGUCGGCUUUCCACGCAGCACACGCGGCGGAACAGCAGACGCGGCCGGCCUCCGUCAGGCUCUUCGACUUUGACCUCGGAUCAGGUAGGGAUACCCGCUGA
rnacentral:misc_RNA from 1 species